rnacentral:rRNA from 1 species
AACAAAAACAUUUGGUGGAUCCCUAGGCACUCAGAGAUGAUGAAGGGCGUGGGCCACUGCGAAAAGCUCCGACGAGUUGAGCACAAACAUUGACUCGGAGAUUCCCGAAUAGGGCAACCUCAUAGUACCUUUUCUUAAAUUCAUAAUAGAAAAAGGAAGCAACCUAGCGAACUGAAACAUCUUAGUAGCUAGAGGAAUAGAAAGCAAAAGCGAUUUCCAAAGUAGUGGUGAGCGAAAUGGAAACAGCCUAAACCAAUAAUUUUUUAUUGGGGUCGUGGGAAAAACUGAAAAAAGGACAAAAUAAGGAUCUAGUGAAACAAUUGAAUGUUGUACCGUAGACGGUGAAAGUCCAGUAACUUAACUUAAAAAUCCUUUGGUUUUAUCCCGAGUAAUAUGGGACACGCG